rnacentral:rRNA from 1 species
AUACGGAAGGCAGCAGUGGGGAAUAUUGCGCAAUGGGCGAAAGCCUGACGCAGCGACGCCGCGUGGGUGAUGAAGGCCUUCGGGUCGUAAAGCCCUGUCGAGGGGAACGAAGCGGGUCCGACCUAAUACGUCGGGCUCUUGACGGUACCCCUAAAGGAAGCACCGGCUAACUCCGUGCCAGCAGCCGCGGUAAUACGGAGGGUGCAAGCGUUGUUCGGAAUCACUGGGCGUAAAGCGCGUGUAGGCGGCCCGCUAAGUCUGAUGUGAAAGCCCGGGGCUCACCCCCGGAAGUGCAUUGGAAACUGGCAGGCUCGAGUCCCGGCGGGGAGGGUGGAAUUCCUGGUGUAGCGGUGAAAUGCGUAGAUAUCAGGAGGAACACCGGUGGCGAAGGCGGCCCUCUGGACGGUGACUGACGCUGAGACGCGAAAGCGUGGGGAGCAAACAGGAUUAGAUACCCGGGUAGUCCU